rnacentral:rRNA from 1 species
GCAGUAGCCGCGGGAAUACGUAGGGUGCGAGCGUUAAUCGGAAUUACUGGGCGUAAAGCGGGCGCAGACGGUUACUUAAGCAGGAUGUGAAAUCCCCGGGCUCAACCUGGGAACUGCGUUCUGAACUGGGUGACUAGAGUGUGUCAGAGGGAGGUAGAAUUCCACGUGUAGCAGUGAAAUGCGUAGAGAUGUGGAGGAAUACCGAUGGCGAAGGCAGCCCCCUGGGCCAAUACUGACGCUCAUGCACGAAAGCGUGGGGAGCAAACAGGAUUAGAUACCCGCGUAGUCCUGUCUCUUAUACC